rnacentral:rRNA from 1 species
UACGGAGGGGGCUAGCGUUGUUCGGAAUUACUGGGCGUAAAGCGUACGUAGGCGGCUUUGUAAGUUAGAGGUGAAAGCCCGGGGCUCAACUCCGGAACUGCCUUUAAGACUGCAUCGCUAGAACGUCGGAGAGGUGAGUGGAAUUCCGAGUGUAGAGGUGAAAUUCGUAGAUAUUCGGAAGAACACCAGUGGCGAAGGCGACUCACUGGACGACUGUUGACGCUGAGGUACGAAAGCGUGGGGAGCAAACAGG